AACCUCAAUCUAUUUUUAUAUUGUUACUAUUUAUAUUAGAUAAUAAUAUUAUUAUCAACCGAUCAGCAUACGUAAAAUAAAAAAAUAUUACCUAUGUAUAGAACAAAAUAUCAAUAAUUAAUGCCAAGCUUUGACACCUAUAUAUAAUGGACCUGUGACAAAUUUACGUCAAAUUUGGUCAAGGAUUUAAUUUUUUAAAGAAUAAACAAAAUUUUUUCGUAACCUCUCUAACUUAAAAAAAGCUACCUUAAUGGAGCGAGAUAGAUAUUUUUUUAGUCAUUGCGUAAAGAGGUUAGACAUAUUUUACAUGACAACAUCAAUUAUGUCAAUUGUGACCAAAUUAUCUUUUGUUUUUGUCGACCCAAAAUGGUUAUUGUUGUGUUUCCGGUGUAACGGUAUUCGAAAUAUUACGAAAAUAAUAACCAAUAGCUUGUGAAUCGCAAAAUUAAUUAAAUAUUAUACAAUAGUGAAGUGUGCAGUUGUUGCCUGCACCAACAAAACCCAAACAAAACUAGCGGGAAUUUCAUUUCACAAAUUUCCAAAAAAUCAUGAUUUAAAACCAAAAUGGUUAAACAGCAUUAACAGGCCUAAUUUCCAUCACGAUACAGCUGCAUAUGUAGUGAUCAUUUUAAGAAGGAUUACAUUAAUUUAACAUUAUGCUUUCCGCACCUCAAAGACAAUGCCUGCCCAUCUAUCCCGAAUUUAUCACCUGAGCAACAAGUAAGACAAGAAAGUGCAAGAAGUGAACCUUAAUCUGUUAUUAGAGAGUCAUGACAAUGCUGUUUCCCAAAAUGGAAUAUAAUUAGUAUUGUUUUGUAUUGUCAAAAACAUAUCUAAAAACUAAAAUUUUCUUGUAACGACGUCUCAAAAAAAAUAUUAAAAAAAAAAUUUGUCUAGUAGAACGAUAAUCAAAUUUUAAAAGACCAUUUAUAAAAAAGUGUCAGUUUUGUUAUGUAUAACGUAUAACGUUGUAUCAAAAAUUGUAAGUUUUGCAACUUCUAUAAAUAAAUUUUGUUGAUGAAUUACGAUUUUUGUUUCCUAUUGCCUUGGUUUAGUAUUAGGCUGGUAGUCUAGGACAACAUCAUAUUCAUCAGAUAGUAAUCGUUACACAAUCAAGACAUAAACACAGGCCAACGUUCGUGAGUGCCAAUACAAAACAUAUAGUUUAAAUAAUUUAUACUAUACAAUGUUUAUUAAAUACUACAGAGUAACCAGAGAGUCUUUACAAACUGCGUGCGUGCAACCCAUAAAAAAAAAAACAAGUCACGCGUCUCCUUGACAUUUGCAUAUAAAAACAAUUACGUAAAUAAUCAAUAAAAAAAUACUCCAUCUUAUUUCUUUAGUUUUUAAAAUAUUUAGAAACAAUUAACGCCAUUUUUCUUGAAUAAUAUUGAAAAUUACUGAUGCGACGGUUCGUAUCGUACUGACAAGAGAACGUAUUCGUUUUUGAAUUUCAUAUUCGUAGCGGGUACGACACCGUCAUGUUCCGUACGCUCCAUCUGUAUAUUAUUGAUUAAUCUGUGUUAAAUAAUGAUUCAAUGAGAAAAUCAAUUGUAUGGAAUUUUAUAUUAUAAUAAUGUAAGAUAGAAUUUAAAAUGUUUCAUUUUAGUAAACAUAAUAUUUUGUAUAAUUUUAUAUCGAGUGCUUAAUUAUUAUCGAUAAAACAGCCCUAGCUCAAUUUAGAGACCAAACAUGGUUACCGGAAGCCUCAAAAAUAAUUACUUGUCACCAAAGACCUUAUACUUAUAACAAGACUGUGCACCUAAAAUUUUUGCUAAGCUAAAAUGAGAUCUAUUGUUAUUGACUUAAGGUAGCUAUUUCUUUAUAGGUGAUAGGUAGCAAAAAACGGUCCUGGCGAGAGGGCUCCCAAUGGUUGUGUGUCCUUGUCUGUCGUCUUGCCAGCUUAACUAAUUAUUGUGCUUGGUAGAAAUGGUAGAAAAUUUUAUAUUUUGCAUCUUUAUGAUUUACCAGAACAAACAAUCCAUAAUCUUUGAAACUUAUUUUAAUAUUUAUACGGUUUAUAUAAAUAAUAAUUAAUUCGUUGUAUUUAAAUCAU